GAUGAACGCUGACAGAAUGCUUAACACAUGCAAGUCUUUGGCGAAGCUGUGCUCGCACAGCCUAGCCAAGGCGGACGGGUGAGUAACGCGUAAGGAACUUGCCCUGCAGUCAGGGAUAACAGACGGAAACGACUGAUAAGACCUGGUAAAGUCAGGCGGACUCAUGUCCAGCCUGAUGAAAAGAGAUGCUGCAGGAGAGCCUUGCGUCCUAUUAGCUUGUUGGUGGGGUAACGGCCCACCAAGGCGAUGAUAGGUAGCCGGCCUGAGAGGGUGGACGGCCACAAGGGGACUGAGGUACGGCCCUUACUCCUACGGGAGGCAGCAGUGGGGAAUAUUGGACAAUGGGGGCAACCCUGAUCCAGCAAUUCUGUGUGCACGAUGAAGGUUUUCGGAUUGUAAAGUGCUUUCAGCAGGGAAGAAAAAAAUGACGGUACCUGCAGAAGAAGCGACGGCUAAAUACGU
rnacentral:rRNA from 1 species